rnacentral:rRNA from 1 species
CCAGAACCCGAUCCCAUCCCGAACUCGGCCGUUAAACUCCUCAGCGCUGAUGGUACUGUGUCUCAAGACCCGGGAGAGUAGGUCGUCGCCGGGC